GAUGAACGCUGGCGGCGUGCUUAACACAUGCAAGUCGAACGGGGUGCUCAUGACGGAGGAUUCGUCCAACGGAUUGAGUUACCUAGUGGCGGACGGGUGAGUAACGCGUGAGGAACCUGCCUUGGAGAGGGGGAUAACACUCCGAAAGGAGUGCUAAUGCCGCAUAAUGCAGUUGGGUCGCAUGGCUCUGACUGCCAAAGAUUUAUCGCUCUGAGAUGGCCUCGCGUCUGAUUAGCUAGUAGGCGGGGGUAACGGCCCACCUAGGCGACGAUCAGUAGCCGGACUGAGGAGGUUGACCGGGCCACAUUGGGACUGAGACACGGCCCAGACUCCUACGGGAGGCAGCAGUGGGGGAUAUUGCACAAUGGGGGAAGCCCUGAUGCAGCGACGCCGCAUCGAAGGAA
rnacentral:rRNA from 1 species